rnacentral:rRNA from 1 species
UUAAAUUGAAGAGUUUGAUCAUGGCUCAGAUUGAACGCUGGCGGCAGGCCUAACACAUGCAAGUCGAGCGGUAACAUUUCUAGCUUGCUAGAAGAUGACGAGCGGCGGACGGGUGAGUACAACUUGGGAAUCUGCCUGAUGGAGGGGGACAACCACUGGAAACGGUGGCUAAUACCGCAUAAUCUUUUCGGAGCAAAGUGGGGGAUCUUCGGACCUCACGCCAUCAGAUGAGCCCAAGCAAGAUUAGGUAGUUGGUGGGGUAAAGGCCUACCAAGCCGACGAUCUUUAGCUGGUCUGAGAGGAUGAUCAGCCACAC